GACAGGGUCUACAGGCUACGGUUGCCAUGGUAUUUGGUGAUAAUAUUUUCUACUUGAAAUAAUGCCUUCUCAACCUGCAUUUCAGUUAUUUUAAAUGUUU